GAAAAAACUCACACACUCUCUCUGUAGUUUGAAGGAAGAGAACACAGACACACACACUUCACUUAAAGUGAAGCUAAAAAGAGAGCUUAUUUCUUUUUGAGUUUUCUGGCUAAAAGGGCACCGGUGAAAAAUGUUUUGAAUUUCUUUCUGUUUUGUUGUUCUCAUUUUCCCUAUUUUUUUUCUCUGUUAAGUUUUCCUAUUUUUUGGAGCAUGUUAAUGAGAGAGGAGGGAGGGAUCGGGGCCUUGUUGCUUUUGGGAUGUGAUUUUAAGGAGAUAAUUUAGGAGAUAAUGGUGGGGUUAUUCUGGAGAUUUUAGAAAGGGUUUCGUUGGUUUUUCUUCUUUCUUCUUCUUCUUCUUUUAUCGCAUUGUUUAAUGGUGUUAUCGUCAGAAAUGUGGGUCCAUCUCAUGUUCCGAAAAGCAUGCUGCUUCCUGGAUGUUCUUGUUUAAAUUUGUUACCCAAAUCAUUACUUGCCUUAAGUUAUUCAUCUGUUACUGUUACUUGUUCUACUACUGUGCGCUCUUAUGGUUCUCUGUUUGCUUUCUCGGAACAAAAAUCUGAGGAAAGAAAUGAUGUUAGAGAUAGCGUUGUUAACAAGGUGUAUGCAACUGUUAUGGAGGGCUCUAUUGAUAUGGAGAAAGCCCUCGAUCAACUCGGUUUAGAAUUGACCACUGAUUUGGUUGUUGAGGUACUCCUUAAGCUUCGUUUUGAGGAAAAGAUUGCUUUUAGAUUCUUUAUGUGGGCAGGGCGCCAACAAAAUUAUGCCCACGAGCCUUCUGCUUAUAAUGAAAUGAUUGACAUUCUCUCUAGUACAAAAUACAAGGUGAAACAGUUUCGAAUAGUUUGUGAUAUGCUGGACUAUAUGAAGAGGAGUAACAAGAAUGUUGUGCCUGUUGAGGUUUUGUUGACAAUUUUGAGAAACUACACGCAGAAGUACCUGACGCAUGUUCAGAAAUUUGCCAAGAAAAAGAGGAUAAGGGUGAAGACACAACCAGAAAUAAAUGCUUUUAACUUGCUAUUAGAUGCUCUGUGCAAGUGUUGCCUAGUUGAGGACGCAGAAACAAUGUAUAAGAGGGUGAAGAACAGGGUGAAGCCUGAUGCUACUACAUACAAUAUACUGUUUUUUGGAUGGUGUAGAGUUAGGAAGCCAACUAGAGGAAUGAGGGUUUUGGAGGAAAUGAUCCAACUGGGUCAUACCCCUGAUAGUUUUACAUACAAUACUGCCAUUGAUGCAUACUGCAAAGCAGGGAUGGUGACAGAAGCAGCUGAACUUUUUGAGUUUAUGAGAACAAAAGGUUCGACAUUGUCUGCCCCCACUGCAAAAACUUAUGCAAUCAUGAUUGUGGCACUUGUCCAGAAUGAUAGAAUGGAUGAUUGCUUUAAGCUUCUUGGGCAUAUGAUAAACAGUGGUUGCCUCCCUGAUGUUUCAACUUACAAAGAAUUGAUUGAAGGAAUGUGUUUGUCUGGAAAGCUUGAUGAAGCUUAUAGAGUUUUGCAAGAGAUGGGAAACAAAGGUUAUCCUCCUGAUAUAGUUACUUACAACUGUUUUCUAAAGGUCCUUUGUGAAAAUGGGAAGAGUAUUGAAGCACUUAAGCUAUACGGAAGAAUGAUAGAGGUGGGUUGUUUGCCUAGCGUACAGACUUAUAAUAUGCUGAUUUCCAUGUUUUUCAGGAUAGGUGAUCCUGAUGGGGCAUUUGAGACCUGGCAUGAGAUGUAUAAGAGAGGCUGUGCUCAGGACAUAGAUACAUAUUCUGUGAUGAUUGAAGGACUUUUUGGUUGCAAUAAAGUAGAGGAUGCCUGUCUCCUGAUAGAAGAUGUUGUGAAUAAGGGAAUGAAAUUGUCCUAUAAAAUAUUUGAUUCCUUUCUGAUGCAGCUUUCAGAGAUUGGUGAUCUCCGAGCUAUCCACAAACUGUCAGAGCACAUGAGGAAGUUAUACAAUCCUUCUAUGGCAAGACGUUUUGCACUAAAUGAGAAACGUAAGAGCAUGAGCUUUAGAGAGAGGAAGAAGAUAUGAAUGAUAUCCUUGUUUUAUCUAUCUUAAGAUGGAAAAGAAAUCCUUAAUUAUUUCAGUGAGUGGAGCAAUAACUUUUGGCAAUUUAUAUUUCCAUUAGUGGGGGAAACACCAAGAGAGCUGUCUUGAAAUCGGGAUAAUUGUUCCACAGCCACCUUGUGCAGUUGUGCUGAAGUGACCUCAAUUGACUAAUGAAAGAAAUACCAAAUAUUUUUCUAUGAUAGAUUACCAGUGAAACAGGUUAGAUUCAUGAGUCUUAUAGAAUAUUACCUGAAGAUAUUUUGUUUUCAAGGAUGAUAGAGUGUCUUAACAUUGUUUAAUUUGCAACAUUUUGGAAAGGCAGGUGCUUUGUCUUCAGUGGACACAGAUCAUAAGAACUGAGGAUGAUGGAACUACUACUUGUUUUAAAGUCAAAGCAUCUUAUGACAUAAAAUUCAAUUUGACGGAUACCAAUUAACAAGAGAGAAUAUGGGAUGCAUUACAUGUGUUUGGAAAUCUGAUGGUCCUCUAGGAGUUGCUUUGCAGUCUGUGCAGUCUCUGGACACUGGUAAGAAAUUUCAAGAAUCUCAUUGCAGGAUCCGCGUGUAAUUAGCUUUAUAUUCACAAAAAAUAAGAUUGUCCAGUUUUUAUCUGUAGGGUGAUAUUGGUGCAAAUCACUCUCUUGUAGUUCAUAGGAGAUUAACUUGCAUACUAAAAGUGGUUCAGAUCGUGCAAUUUUGAUGCAAAGGUGACAGUUUUCUUUGGAAAUGCUAAAGUGAGUUAGGAAAGUGAACAUAAAUUCUGGAGACCUUAUCAUUUAUUUUUGGGUAGAAUAUUUUAAUAUGUUGCUCUUUCUUUUCAUAUUUAUUAUUUAAGAAGUUGUGAAUUGUUGUGCCCCUAAAAUCUUCUUGUGCCCUCAUACAAACUUGAUAUACCGCAUUCUAGUUAUGACCAUUUCCUUAAAUUUUGAGUUUUCUAAACCUGUGGCAUUUCUUGAGGGAUCGUCCAGAGGCCAUACAGGUGUGGAGCCAAGUGUUGCAUAAGUACAAACAAGCCAUGUAGAGGAGAUGGGAGGUCAGAUUAGUACACACUAGUAGCUAUAGAGCAGAGGGUGAAGGAGUUGUCUGGCUUGUUGUCUCUGAGCGGUGAAGGUGUAGCCUCUAGGGAUCAGUAGGCCCCAUUUGUUCGCUUUUGGAAUCUGGGCUUAGGCCUAGGCCUUCCAUUCUUUAGAAGAUAGGAAAACGAAAAAUUAAACAAACGAAGCUCUCGCUCUUAGUUUCCAUAGUCCACUUUGGUCGGCGGCUGGCAGGCAAAACGCCAAGCAACACCAGACAGCCUCCCAUCCAGCACACCCAUUAUUCAAUGAGAUCAAUUCACGUCAUCUAUUUCUUGUUGAUUCAUAUAGGGAAAACAAUGACAUUUUUUUAAUAAAUAGUGACACUUGUUUACAAUUUGUUUAUUCCUUUUAUUAUAUUUUUUUUUCAAAAGAGAACAAAGAAACCUAAAAUAUUGAGAUUUUUUCUAAUUGAG
rnacentral:misc_RNA from 1 species